GGCGCUAUAGCCAAGUGGUUACGGCGACAGAUUCGAAUGCUGUGAAAUCUGUUCCUCUUUGAGGGCGCAGGUUCAAAUCCUGCUGGCGUCG